CCUACGGGAGGCAGCAGUGAGGAAUAUUGGACAAUGGGCGCAAGCCUGAUCCAGCCAUGCCGCGUGCAGGAUGACGGUCCUAUGGAUUGUAAACUGCUUUUGUACAGGAAGAAACCCUUUCACGUGUGGAAGAUUGACGGUACUGUAAGAAUAAGGAUCGGCUAACUCCGUGCCAGCAGCCGCGGUAAUACGGAGGAUCCAAGCGUUAUCCGGAAUCAUUGGGUUUAAAGGGUCCGUAGGCGGUUUAGUAAGUCAGUGGUGAAAGCCCACCGCUCAACGGUGGAACGGCCAUUGAUACUGCUAGACUUGAAUUAUUAGGAAGUAACUAGAAUAUGUAGUGUAGCGGUGAAAUGCUUAGAGAUUACAUGGAAUACCAAUUGCGAAGGCAGGUUACUACUAAAUGGAUUGACGCUGAUGGACGAAAGCGUGGGUAGCGAACAGGAUUAGAUACCCUGGUAGUCCACGCCGUAAACGAUGGAUACUAGCUGUUGGGCGCAAGUUCAGUGGCUAAGCGAAAGUGAUAAGUAUCCCACCUGGGGAGUACGUUCGCAAGAAUGAAAACUCAAAGGAAUUGAACGGCNGAGAGAGACGACGACGACGACGAGGGAGGAGGAG
rnacentral:rRNA from 1 species